AACGUAGGGGGCGAGCGUUGCCCGGAUUCACUGGGCGUAAAGCGGGUGUAGGCGGUUCUUUAAGUCGGAUGUGAAAUCCUACGGCUCAACCGUGGAACUGCAUCCGAUACUGGGGAACUUGAGGACGGUAGAGGUCGGUGGAAUAUCCGGUGUACCGGUGAAAUGGGCAGAUAUCGGAUAGAACACCAGUGGCGAAGGCGGCCGACUGGGCCGUUCCUGACGCUGAGACCCGAAAGCUAGAGUAGCGAACCGG
rnacentral:rRNA from 1 species